GCGAAGGUACACCUGCAGCGAAAAGACACAACAGACUUGCAACAAACAAGCAGAACCUGUACUGAGACCAUAAGAGCGUGUGGGCUGUCAUGAGGGAACAUUUUGAUUUUACUGGAGUCCACAGUGAACGUCUCCCCGAAGACACCGACACAACACCAGUAUACACCAUUUUAUAAGAGGCAAAGAGCAGAAAGGUGUUUGUCCUGGAUAAAUCAGGCAGCAUGGAAUAGGACACACCAAUGAGGAUAGUACGCUUGCAUGAAACUGGAAAAUACAUACUCGAGAAUGAAGAGGAGAUUUGUGCCGAUAGCUACCUCGGAAUCGUGUGGUUUAAUGAAAGCGCAUU